ACGGGAGGCAGCAGUGAGGAGUAUUGGUCAAUGGACGGAAGUCUGAACCAGCCAUGCCGCGUGCAGGAAUAAGGCCCUAUGGGUCGUAAACUGCUUUUGUGGUGGAGCAAUAAGGCGUACGUGUACGUCGAUGAGAGUACAUCACGAAUAAGCAUCGGCUAACUCCGUGCCAGCAGCCGCGGUAAUACGGAGGGUGCAAGUGUUAUCCGGAUUUAUUGGGUUUAAAGGGAGCGCAGGCGGCGCGUCAAGUCAGCGGUAAAAUGUCGGGGCUCAACCCCGGCCGGCCGUUGAAACUGCCGUGCUCGAGUUCGUGCGAGGAGAGCGGAAUGCGUGGUGUAGCGGUGAAAUGCAUAGAUAUCACGCAGAACGCCGAUUGCGAAGGCAGCCCUCCAGCACUGGACUGACGCUGAGGCUCGAAAGCGUGGGUAUCGAACAGGAUUAGAUACCCUGGUA
rnacentral:rRNA from 1 species